CCCGGGGCCGCGUGACCGCCACCUCCCGGAAGUGCGGCGGGAGCGGGAGCGGGGCCGUGCGGGAGCCGGGAGGUGCCGAGAGCGGGGCGGACACGGCAGGGAGCAGCGGGACUCGGCGCGGGCAGCGAUGCGGCUCCGCCGCCGCCCGGGCUCGCCGCCUUCGCCUCCCGCCGGGCGCCGGUGACCGUCACAGCGUCCCCGCCCCGGCGGAAUGAGCCCCGCCGCGCCGCCCCGCCAGCGCCGCGAUUCGUGUCGAGCCCUGCUCAAGAAAAAACUGUCACCAUCCGAGUGGAAUGUGAAGUACAUGCACUUGGAAUUUGUUGGUGUAACCCUGGAGGGAACCACUUUGAUCCUGGAGGCCCAAGCCCUGGGAAGAAGGGAUGCUGGAAGGAAGAGGCUCAGCAGGAACUGAUCACUGAGUUCAUAAUUCUUGUCAUUCUUGAGCGAGCAGGACAGGCUCACCGAUUUGCUUUGAGAACCAUCCUUGAGUUGGAUUAUGGCAGGAUAAUAAGAUAUUUUUGAGAGUCAUGUUAUUGAUGUAGGAAGUCACUUUGAAUUUUAAGAUCUAGUAAACUGGAGAUCUGAUCCAGCUUUUGAUGAAAAUUUGUGUAAAUACAUUUUUUGGAAGGUAGCCUGUGCUUUCUUUACACUAUGUGUGCAGGUGAUUAACAAUAACCAAUUUUAGAUGGCUUUAAGUUUAGUAUAAGUAUUUGUUUGACUAGGACAGCACUUCAGUUAAUUCAUAAAUAAAAUGUGCUUUGAGAAAUCUCCUUGUUUCAUGUUAUUUCUGUCUGCUUGCUCACUGUAGGAGGAUCAGCUCCUUUUAGAUCCUGAUUUAACAGAAUCCAUUCUAUUUGCUGAGCAAUUAUCAGGUGAAGCCAAUACCUUCCUUAACAGACCAGCAGAAGAAGUCAUAAGCCCAUCACAUUUGGGGUCUGGAAGUGCAAGCAAAGAACUUUUAACCUUUUUUUUUUUUAAGGAAGGCAACACAAACUCUGAAUUAAAUCAGCACUGGCUGCUGUACAACAUUCAGUAUGAGUAUGUCACUUCAUUAGAAAAAACCCCAAACAAAGCAACUUGACACCCUUUAAAAACACGUCUCAUUUUCCUUUUGAAAACCAGAAGCUUCUUUUACCCCAUCCAUUAAAGGUUGUUUUCCUGUUCCCAGUGCAUGUUUGCUCUGAUGGUCAGACAUUUCUGCCUGGCAGAAGGGCCACACAGACUGGUUUGUUGGGCCAUGUCCAGACAGGCAGAGCAUUGCCUGAAAACUCUUGGAGCUGUUGUCUGAUAAUGCUCCAUCAUUUCUGCUGCUUUGUAGGUGAUAGCCUGCAGAGUAAUAAAUGCAGGUUCUAGCAUGAAAACUGUCCCUCUAAGUUGUUUCAUCCUGCAGAUAGCAGACCUGUCUUCCUGCACUUCACUGAUUUAAUUCCACCCAGUCGUUCUCCGACUGGUUUUGUGACCUCCACCUCUCUCCGUUCCCCAACCAUUUGGUCUAAUAGGCUGUGAUGAGGGGUUGGUACUUGGAAAACCAUUUUCUCAGAGCUGAUGACAGUGGCUAAUCAAUGAUUCAUAAACAAUUUCUUCAGAGUAGUAUUUAGUCUCCUCCCUACGCAGAGCAUGGUAGAACAAAG
rnacentral:lncRNA from 1 species